rnacentral:piRNA from 1 species
UUUUAACCAAGAAUUCUUGUU